CAAUAGGCUUUUGCAAUGGACAGGGGUACCGGCCCCUAUCUGCAAGGUUGCAGGGAGUAGUUUGUUUUAAAUGCUUAUUCUUUAAGAAAGAAAUAAAAUGAAACGGAAUACGAGAGAAAACGGUAACGGAACCCAGCAAUUCAUUCAUCGCCUUCACGCAACCCUCUCCCUCACUCUCGUCACUCUCAAAAAUUUCGCAACCCUCUCCCUCACUCUCGUCACUCUCCAGCGCUCAUACUAACCUCGCGAUACUACUCCCAAUCUCACUCUAAACGCAAAACCAUGGUUUUAAAGAGAAUCAAAUAAAAAGGCUCACCUUCGGCAGUGGUUCGGUAGUGACGGUGAGGCUCGGAUCUGCUUCCUUUACCUCAAAGCUUUCUCUUUGAAGUUCUUCUCCUUCGCCGUUUCCAUCUAAGUUUUUUUUUUCGCCGUUUUCGAAUUAGGGUUUUUCGUCCCCUUGGUCCGCCUCCGCUUCCCUCCUUUUAUAUCAACAACUUAGGGUUUUUUGAGCUGUCUCCAGGAAAUCCAAAAGGGCAUCUUCUGUAUUGCUUUAAGGCGCUCAGACUUUGGUCUGCCUUAUUUGGCGCUCGACAUGAAAACGUGAAGAUUGGUGAAAAUAGAAGCUCCAAUUAUCACAGGGGUUCUGGAUAGUGAUUUUGGGUUGAAAUUUCUUCAGUGGAAGCAUCGUGAUUUCCUGAUGAUGACUUCUAUCAGUCAUCAAAAAUUCACAGAGCCAACAUCACAUGAGUUGCUCCCCGCUUCCCACAUGAAAGGACUAGAAUUAAGAGAAAGAAGAGCUGGUACACAACAAGACCGAGGACUAAAGCACUGUUUUGGGAUAUUUUCAGGAUGAUCGGUUUGGUGAUUGAUUCCAAGGGUUUCUCGGUUCAAUUUUAUGUGUUGUGGAUUGCAACGGCAUCUCCAAGAAUUACUUCUGAUUGAAGGUUCAGAGUAGUCUUUGUUAACAUGGCGACUGCUAUGAUUACGUGCGGUGAAACCAUUAUCAAUACGCUUGGCUGGUUUUAUUGAAGGAUUACUGCUGCUAUAUAAGUAGUCCUUGCAGUUGGAUUGAUAAUGCCGGGACGCCGAGCCUUCCGCCUUUCUGAGCCUUCCGCCUUUCUGAGCUUUAAUCGCUAUGAGGAAUAUGAAAACAACUGCUAGAACACUAUCAAUGCUGGACCCCGAACCGUCAGACAUGAAUUUAGGAACUGAAGGUGUUGUGGAUGCCACUUAAGACCAAUUAGUAACAGAGCUGGCCGGGGAAUAUUAGAAGAAAGCUUGUUGACAAGUAUCAAACUUGAGAGACUAGAUUCACAGCUGCUGCUGCUACUAGUGUAUUAAUGCAUUUGGGCUGUUAUAUUUAAAUGCAAGUGGAUUGUUUGUGAGCUUGCUCCUAUGAUCAUGUUAACACACAAAAUGGUGGUGUCUUCCUUGUUAGAAAGCAAGUUGCAACAGUUCUGAACCGUUGGUCUCGUGGCAAGUUGUCGGGUGCUUCCAAGAGCUAGUGAGGAUGAAGAAGUUCCCGUCGUGAUUAGCGAGAUUGCAGGUAGCGUAUAGGAUGGUUAUGUUCAGCAUUGCAGAAACCUUUGUUAAAUUCAUUCAUCAGAAAGAUGCUUGCAUUGCCAUGUAUAUGAUAAAAGAAAUGUAUUUUAUGGGAGCUCCAGUCUACACAGUUCGCGAUAACUUUAUAAGCAAUAUAUAUAGCUUUCAUGGUCUCAGUAAAAUAUAUAA